UUUUUUCACCUCAGUAGGUGGGAUGUAGCCUCCCUGUGAAAGGCCACUGCAUCUUUGCCUCUGACAGCUCUGCAUGCAUCAUGGCCUCUUAGUGAUUUGUUUUCUUCCUUUUUUUUUUCUCUCUCCCAGAUUAGCACUCCUGGGCCUGGCAGUAAUGAGAGACUGUCCCACUUCUCCCAGGACCCCCAUCACCACGACCACUGGUUCAGCCCUGGGGCAAGGAAGGAUCAUAACCAGCUUCUGUGGGAUGCUCGGGCUGACAAAGGUCAUAGGAAGAGCUGCUCAUUAAAAACUGCCAGCAGACAAACGAGUGUUCACUUAGGAUCGCUCUGCACAGGAGACGUCAAGCGGAGACGCAAGGCUGCACCUAUUGCUGGACCAAUGACAACAGGGUAUGUAGGCGAAAACGCACAACCAAUCCCGGAGAACAACAUUGGCAACAGGAUGCUGCAAUGUAUGGGCUGGUCCCCUGGUAUGGGGCUGGGACCAGAUGGCACUGGAAUAUCGGAGCCAAUUAGAGCACUGCAGAGACCUAAAGGGGCAGGACUUGGCUUUUGCUGACUACAGACAACUUUUGUUACCUCCCUCAGCAAGACAAAUAUUUGCAAUGUCAUCUUGGACCAGCUGUUUAACAAAUACAGGAUUUGUACACCAGCUCAUUUUAAUAGUGUUAAAAUGUAAACAAACAAAAUAAUAGGAUGUAUGCUAUAUUGGGCAAUUUAUAUAUGUUUCUCUAUUGUAAAACUAAACAAAAUAAUGCUUAUGAUAAUGUACAAUUCUAUUUUUCUGUUAAAGUACUUAGGAAACCCUUUUUAUAAAUGUAUCAGAAUGGUUGGACUUAAAUUAGGUCCUACAAAAGUGGGUGGCAGAUUUGUCAUUACUGUGUGUCACAAAACAGUUACUUUUCAGUAUGUGUAACUCAUGCUGUAUUUUAUAUAUGCAUCGAUUUUCUAUCUAUCUAUAAAGAUAUAAAAUCACAUCAUAUAUAUAUAUAAAAGAUAUCAUGUGAAUUAUUGUUGCUGUCUGAUAUGAUAAAUGCAUCUGUGGUUGCACAAGGCUGAAGUAUUCCAUUGGCAACAUUGCAAUGCUGCUAGUGUUGUGAAUUUUAAUUGUAUAACAACUUGGUAUGACAUAGAAGACAAAUCAUGCAUUUGAAAAGCAUUCCUUUUGAUUUUGGAUUUAACCGUUUAGCGGCCAAUUUUAUUUAUAAGAUAUUGUACAAAGUAACAAACAAGUAAGUUUUAAAAAAAAAAAACAGUUGCAUAUCACAGAAAAUAUUACAGGGUUAAAAAGUAAAUCAACAUAAUUUGGUUUUGUGAUUGUUUGCUUGAUAGGCAGUUUAAGUUAUUUUAAGAAAAUACAAAUGCUGUGUGGUUUUAAAUUGAAAUAAAAAAAUACAUCUCCAAGAACCUCAAA